rfam:Schistosoma mansoni, Puerto Rico, WGS project CABG01000000 data, contig: 0094
AUCCAGCUGAUGAGUUCCAAAUAGGACGAAACACGCGUCCUGGAU